GAUGAAGAACGCAGCAAAAUGCGAUAAGUAAUGUGAAUUGCAGAAUUCAGUGAAUCAUCGAAUCUUUGAACGCACAUUGCGCCCGCCAGUAUUCUGGCGGGCAUGCCUGUUCGAGCGUCAUUUCAACCCUCAAGCACAGCUUGGUGUUGGGACUCGCGUUAAUUCGCGUUCCUCAAAUUGAUUGGCGGUCACGUCGAGCUUCCAUAGCGUAGUAGUAAAACCCUCGUUACUGGUAAUCGUCGCGGCCACGCCGUUAAACCCCAACUUCUGAAUGUUGACCUCGGAUCAGGUAGGAAUACCCGCUGAACUUAAGCAUAUCAAUAAGCGGAGGGA
rnacentral:misc_RNA from 1 species